AGUUGCCACAACAACGGCGCUGCCUACCACAACUACAGCCAAACCGGUUCUCUGUACCUAUAGAGGUCAUAAUUACACUGCUGGUGAAACAGUCAAUUCCACUAUGCCUUGUGAACAGCGCUACUGCAACGCCACGACAAGAAAUAUAACAAUAACGAGGUGCGCCCCUCCGGACCCUUCGUGCGCUCAGCUUUCAGGGAUGCAGCCAUAUCCUCGUUGCUGUCCAUGUUUUUCCGCUACUAUUUGGUACAAGAAGUAAUAUGAAAAUACGAAACAAGACAAUGGAAACAGAACUUUCAAAAGCUCCUGUAGUUUUUAGAUUCACAAAAAUAGAUCUACCUGUGGUUUUUUAUGCGGCACUAAUAAAGAAGGAAUGCGUC
rnacentral:lncRNA from 1 species